CCGCGAUGGAGGAGGAGGAGGGCUUCCCCCAAGGAGACGCCAAGGUAUACACAGUAAGGUUUCUGAAGGUACCGGGAGAGCUGUGCCAAAGCCUGGGCUGUUUCCUUGAUACGGAGAGUGUUCUGGUUCAGCACAUCAAUAGAUGGUACAAAGAGACAAGCACGGUUGACAUCAUCUGUGUAGAAAUCACUGUCAGAGAUAGCAGUCAACAGUUCAUUGUAUUCCCUGGAAAUUGUAUGGCUGACUGGCAUGCCAUAUUCAUCCACAUACUUCUUCAAAGAGUAAAUAUAGACCUUGAUCUUAUUUUUGGGGUUGAAUCCACAACGGUAAACAUCAAAACACGUGUGCAUCCUGCAGCUGAGGUCCCCACGCUCAGGGAUGGCACUGUCUGCAGGAAUCUUGACUACAGGUACAUCAUGAACACUCCGCUUUUCAACUGUCCAGUCAUUUGAAGACUCUAUGGAGUGUGGCCAGAACUGAAACAUGCCUGUGGCAAUAAGUCCCAGCAGGACAAUGGAGAAGAGGGCAAUAUAAUAGAUGCGGUGUUUGGUCUUCAUUCUCGGGAUGAGGGCUGGACCCCGGGUGUUAUAUUUGACUGACGCACACAUAAUGGAACAAGCCAACUUUCCCACUGGCUUCUGGGAACAGAAUAUAUAAAUAAAAAAGAAAAACUAGAAUUAACAUUGCAUGUUGUUAAAGCCCAACAAUACAUUUAGUUUUAAAAGGAUAAACUGCUUGUCUCGUUUAUUUCAAUUUUCCAGCAUAUGUGUUUUAUUCAACAACAAAAACAUAUUAUAAUCCUCAACCCAUAAAGGCUUCAAAAUGUCUUGCUGCAGAAGAUUGCAUCAGUAUUUCCAACACCAGUUGUUUGUCACACAGAAAUUAUGUUUUGGUGUAAGCAACCCGUCACUCACCUGUUUUAUAGAUGAAUUUUACAAGUAUUUAUUUCUUGCUCCCAGGUGGAAAUUAAACUGUAAAGAGCACAUUUAUGUAAUGAUUAGACCACUGCAAGUAAUUCACAGUUUCUCAGGACUCCUGUGAGAUACAUUGGUGUUAUUGUCUGUAUAUUGCAGAUGAAGGCCUGACUCCAAGAGACAGUACUUGCACAGCAGAGCCAUGGUUUAAGAAAGGACCUCUUAUUCUGCACUAGAGCCUCUUAGCUAUAUGGGGAAGCUACUGAAAUAUAAUUUGCAAUUAGUAAAGGUUUUGUAUUAAUAUAGUCUGCUUAUGUUAAAUUAAAAGCAAGUAAAAUAAAUGAUCAGUCUACGAACUGGACUGGUAAAGAA